CAGGGGUUGGGAAACUAGCUUCCAUGGCCAAACCUAGCCCACCGUCUGUUUUGUUUCCUGUUCUUCCCAACCUGCGCUAUGGACUUCAUCAGAUUUCAGCAUCAGAGAGAAUAUGGAAGGACAUCGACCCUAACUUCAUCCAGUGAGGAUUUCCACACACCAUACACUCUCUGAGAGUUCUCUUGGCUUUGUGUGCACACCUCCAGUGGCAGGGAGCUCGCUAUGUCAUGAGGCAGCCUGCUCCCUUGUGGCUAUCACUGAACCAACUAUUAAGCCUUCUUUUAUAAACAGUCCCUGACUUACUGUUAGACUUACAACUUUUUGAUUUUACAGUGGUGCAGAAGCAAUAUGCAUUCCAUAGAAACUGUAUUUCAAAUUUUGAAUUUUGAUCUUUUCCAGGCUAGCAACAUAUGAAGACCAACCUUUUAUUUCUAAAAUUGGCUUCGUGUUAGAUGCUUUUGCCCAACUAUAGGUUAAUGUAAAUGUUCUCAGAAUAUUUAAGGAAGGCUAGGCUAAACUGUGAUCUUUGGGAGCUUAGAUAUGUUAAGUGCAUUUUCAACUUACAAUAUUUUCAACUUACGAUGAGUUUAUUGGGAUGAAGCCCGUUGUAAGUAAAGGAGCAUCUGCAUUAAGCUAAAAUCCAUGUCUAUAUCUUCCUCAGUAAUAUCAAGUUUGUUCCUUGGAGCCAGAGAAUAAACUGAAUCCUUU
rnacentral:lncRNA from 1 species